rnacentral:snRNA from 1 species
GUGCUAUUUGGAAGCAGAGAAA